GGUAGUGUGGCCGAGCCGUAGGUGGCGAGUUGUAGCCUCGCCGACUGGGAUUUUACCCACGCUACCAAGCC
rnacentral:tRNA from 1 species